rnacentral:rRNA from 1 species
UACAGAGGUCUCAAGCGUUGUUCGGAUUCAUUGGGCGUAAAGGGUGCGUAGGCGGCGCGGUAAGUCGGGUGUGAAAUCUUGGAGCUUAACUCCGAAACUGCAUUCGAUACUGCCGUGCUUGAGGACUGGAGAGGAGACUGGAAUUUACGGUGUAGCGGUGAAAUGCGUAGAUAUCGUAAGGAAGACCAGUGGACGAAGGCGGGUCUCGUGGGAC